UGGAGGGGAAGCGGCCGGUGCCAGGGCCGGAGCCGCCGGCGGAGAAGCAGUCCUGCAACUCUCCGGAGCAGGGAACAGGAGCGGUCGAACACCAUCCCCCUAUCUCCCUCCCAUCUCCGACUUCAUGCGGCGGGACUCUGCUCCUCUGGACUCCCCAGGGGAAGAGGUGGCAACCUUCCCUCCCUCUCACAUACACUCGCAGCCCCAGAUGACAAAGACACACCGUGACUGUUGCUUGGAAUCUCCUCGGCGUAUCCGGCCUCGUUUCUCUCAAAUAUGUCACCACGAUGAAAGAGAGGCGUUUCACUACAGUCGUCUGCAUGCAUCUUUAUUCAAAAUAGCCAUGUAAAAAGACGAAUGAACACACAGAACCCGCAACAACUUGUUUUCCCACAUGUGUUCAUAGGAAGAGAGCAGCUGGAUUCCUGCCUCCCCCUUGCUGCACAUACACACACGCACACGCCGAUUCUGUUCCCACUGGCUGACCAUGCUCGCCCGGGUCCUCCCUCUCCCUCCAGCCCCACGGAGGCCAGCCCCGCGGAACCCCCUCUUUCCCCCCCGGGAGCCGGGUGGAAAUGGCAGGAAGGCACGCUGAAAAGGCACAUUCAAAUCAUGUUAACAGGAAAAACACGAAUACAAAGACUAAAAGGCUCAAACAACACUGGGAAACAGGACGAAAUUCUAAGAUCUAAGGCAGCCCCCCUUCCUCCCUGGAGUUUUAUGCAGUUACAGUGACUGCAGCUCUUUCACAAAAAGCAACGACACGUCAGAGGAAGGUGGGAAUAUGUGCGAAACGAGUUUUCCUACCAGCGUGAUUCCGCAAAAUGCAGAGCCCGUAACGUGCAUCAGCUCUGCUCAAGAGAAAGACGAAUAAACAUUUCCUUUAAAAAUUGUUGCUCGAUUCACAGUCUACAGCGGAGGUGGGGAGGGAAAGUAUAGGAGAGAAUCACUACAGAUCGCGGGUUUGAGGAGGCAACAGCAGCAACACUCGAGCGUGUAAUGAGGAUCGGGUUUAGAAACUGAACUGGUGUGUGAUGAGCAGCUAUCCCGCUUGCAGCACUGGCAGCGGCAGAGACAGCGGAGUGGGAAGCCUCUCAGUUGCCAUUCAACAUUCUAAAGCACAAGCCGCUCUGCCGUGAAAGCGCCUGAUCUACACUUCUCUAAGAGGCACAGGAAGGAAUGCACAUUGCAGAUUUUACCCACCGUGGCGGUGCAGAUCACAGGAAACAACUGACUGAUACAAUUUUAUUGCAAAUAGAACUCUGGGGUUUGUUGGUAUCUCUCUUUUUUUUUUUUUUUUUUAACCGCGUAGCUGCUGUCUCCCCCUCCCCUUUGCCAUUCCGCUUCUAUGGAUGUAAUUCAGAAUCUGUGCUAAUUCACGUGGGGGAUCCAGUUACAUCGUGCUCCUCUCCGGGUAUAUUUACGAAAGACCAAUAAUCGCCUUUGGACACAUAGUUUUGUUGCUAACCUUUGAACUGAAAGGAUCAAGUUCAGAUCUGGUUACCUGCAUUGGGACGGGAAGAGGAGAGAGAGAGGGGGAGAGACUGCAAUCUCAUUUGUGAAUCGCUCUCAGUGCUGCAGAUCCACAUUGCUAUAACACAUGCAGUGCAAAUGCAGGUAAGGCACACACACAAACUGCGGAUGCUAAACCAAACUUGGGACUGUUGUGUUUGUAUAUUCUUAUCUACAGCUUUGCAUAUUCUGGGCAAACGGCUUCUGCAGUUUCUGUAUCGUUGCUUUGUGACUAAUGACCUUGCGCAGAGUUGUUAAAAAAAAAAUCCGCUCCGGAGAAAGAGCUGAACAUUUUAGGCGAUCUCUGAAGAUGGAUUUGGGUGCUUUUCUGCCAGCCAAAGGGGAUAUUCUGUGAACUGCUGUGUAAUACACGGUUUUCUUCUCCUGUGCAGCUACCGACAUUAUUGUGAUUUUUUUUUUCUUUCUAUUUUUUAUUUUAUUUCAUUUUUUAAAGAACUCCCCAUUGCUAAGAGGAUUUGGAGUUUUCCCGGACACAAGCCCUUUGAAUAAAGCGAAUUACAUUUUUUUCCCGUCUGUGCAGAGCAGGGGAAGAAUAAAGCUAAUGCUUCGGUCGUAAAAGGCUGAGAGAGAGAGAAAAGAGAGAGAGCGUGUGAAUUGUAGUUAACUCCAGUGUCGAAGAAGACGACCUGGGGGGCUUCGAAUCGUAUAGUGCUGCUCCAGCUUUUAUUGCAAACCUUGCAAAGCGAUUACAGUAAAAUCAGAGAGGAGGAGGAGAAGGGGAGGAGGAGGAAAAUCCCAUCCUGUCUACGGAAAUGAAUCUUUAAAAAGCAAAAUACACUGUCCCGUGAACUGUAAGUAUAUCGCAACUGGAAGGCAGGGAAAGCAGUAGAGGAGCCAGCAGCAGGGUUUUGACAACCUAUUGCACCAGCCAUGAGACACUAAGUUUCCAGGAACAGAAGGAUUUUACAAUUGAUAGCCCGGACGCUCAGCCGCUCUGUUGGCUUAU